rnacentral:piRNA from 2 species
UACAGAGUUUUGCUCGGCUCGAAGU